AAUUAAUUAAGAUGGCCUCCUUAAAGCAAGUUUUUCUCUUCAUUGCUCUCUUUGUUGCAAUUUCAGUUAAUCUCUCUUGGGCUCCGAAUAAGAUGCAAGUGAUGGCAUUACGAGACUUACCCACUGAUGUUGCGAAGAUGAAAGGGAAAUUAUUUCGAUUUGGCGAUAUUGGUACUUGCGGGAUACCUUGCAGGAGUCGUAUUGAUUGCAGAGAAGGUUUUAUAUGUUCAACUUGUCUUAUAAUUGGGUCUACAAUUGCUCAUUGCGUAUAACACAAGUGCACUAUAUAUUACUGGUGAAAUAUCCUUGGAGCGCAGAUAAUUGUUGCGGGCAAUAAAUAAACUGUAAAUUGCUUGAUAUGUCUUGGUGUUUAUUCAAGCAUUUUAAAUAAUGUUGUGUUUCCAAAGUUUGUGUAAGAAAUUAAAUAUGUAACCUUAUAAGUUUUCAAUAUAUUGGGAAACUACCUACUCUAAUAGGUUACAACUUAAAUAUAUGUAUAUGUUUGUCGCUUAUCUUUAUCCUAUAUGCAAUUCAAUAUUUAAUGAGAUAAGUCAAAAUAAUACAUCUAAAUUUAUUA